rnacentral:rRNA from 1 species
UACGGAGGGUGCUAGCGUUGUUCGGAAUUACUGGGCGUAAAGGGCGCGCAGGCGGUCGUUCAAGUCGCGUGUGAGAGCCCCCGGCUCAACUGGGGAGGGUCACGCGAUACUGAUCGACUCGAAGGCAGGAGAGGGUAGUGGAAUUCCCGGUGAUAGUGGGUGAAAUGCGUAGAUAUCGGGAGGAACACCAGUGGCGAAGGCGACUACCUGGCCUGUUCUUGACGCUGAGGCGCGAAAGCUAGGGGAGCAACGGG